UUCCGUAGGGAACCUGCGGAGGGAUCAUUA
rnacentral:rRNA from 1 species